UACGAAGGGUGCUAGCGUUGUUCGGAAUUACUGGGCGUAAAGCGCGCGUAGGCGGCGAUUCAAGUCAGAGGUGAAAUCCCCAGGCUCAACCUGGGAAUUGCCUUUGAAACUAGAUCGCUAGAAUCUUGGAGGGGAUAGCGGAAUUCCGAAUGUAGCGGUGAAAUGCGUAGAUAUUCGGAGGAACACCGGUGGCGAAGGCGGCUAUCUGGACAAGUAUUGACGCUGAGGCGCGAAAGCGUGGGGAUCAAACAGG
rnacentral:rRNA from 1 species